UACGAAGGGGGCUAGCGUUGCUCGGAAUUACUGGGCGUAAAGGGCGCGUAGGCGGAUAGUUUAGUCAGAGGUGAAAGCCCAGGGCUCAACCUUGGAAUUGCCUUUGAUACUGGCUGUCUUGAGUUCGGGAGAGGUGAGUGGAAUGCCGAGUGUAGAGGUGAAAUUCGUAGAUAUUCGGCGGAACACCAGUGGCGAAGGCGACUCACUGGCCCGAUACUGACGCUGAGGCGCGAAAGCUAGGGGAGCAAACAGG
rnacentral:rRNA from 1 species